rnacentral:tRNA from 1 species
GCCUGCUUAGCUCAGUUGGUUAGAGCGUCCGUCUCAUACGCGGAUUGCCACUAGUUCGAAUCUAGUAGCAGGCA